rnacentral:rRNA from 1 species
CAAUAGCGUAUAUUUAAGUUGCUGCAGUUAAAAAGCUCGUAGUUGGAUUUCGGGUGGGAAUGGCCGGUCCGCCGUUUCGGUGUGCACUUGCUACGCCCACCUUGCUGCCGGGGACGUGCUCUUGAGUUCACGCUCGGGACACGGAGUCGGCGAGGUUACUUUGAGUAAAUUAGAGUGUUCAAAGCAGGCCUACGCUCUGAAUACAUUAGUAUGGAAUAACACGAUAGGACUCUGGCCUACCUUGUUGGUCUGUAGGACCGGAGUAAUGAUUAAGAGGGACAGUCGGGGGCAUUCGUAUUUCAUUGUCAGAGGUGAAAUUCUUGGAUUUAUGAAAGACGAACUACUGCGAAAGCAUUUGUCAAGGAUGUUUUCAUUAA